GUGCCAGCAGCCGCGGUAAUACGUAGGGACCAAGCGUUGUUCGGAUUUACUGGGCGUAAAGGGCGCGUAGGCGGCUUGACAAGUCACUUGUGAAAUCUCCGGGCUUAACUCGGAACGGCCAAGUGAAACUGUCAUGCUAGAGUGCAGAAGGGGCAAUCGGAAUUCUUGGUGUAGCGGUGAAAUGCGUAGAUAUCAAGAGGAACACCUGAGGUGAAGACGGGUUGCUGGGCUGACACUGACGCUGAGGCGCGAAAGCCAGGGGAGCAAACGGGAUUAGAUACCCCGGUAGUCC
rnacentral:rRNA from 1 species